rnacentral:rRNA from 1 species
GAUGAACGCUAGCGAUAGGCUUAACACAUGCAAGUCGAGGGGCAGCAUGGUCUUAGCUUGCUAAGACUGAUGGCGACCGGCGCACGGGUGCGUAACGCGUAUGCAACUUGCCUCACAGAGGGGGAUAACCCGUCGAAAGACGGACUAAUACCGCGUACACUUGGGAUAGGGCAUCCUGACCCAAGGAAAUGAAAUUCGCUGUGAGAUAGGCAUGCGUCCCAUUAGCUAGUUGGUGAAGUAACGGCUCACCAAGGCGACGAUGGGUAGGGGAACUGAGAGGUUGAACCCCCACACUGGUACUGAGACACGGACCAGACUCCUACGGGAGGCAGCAGUGAGGAAUAUUGGUCAAUGGGCGAGAGCCUGAACCAGCCAAGUCGCGUGAAGGAUGACUGUCUUAUGGAUUGUAAACUUCUUUUAUACGGGAAUAACAAGAGCCACGUGUGGCUCCCUGCAUGUACCGUAUGAAUAAGCAUCGGCUAACUCCGUG